ACAGGGAUUGCCCUAGUAACGGCGAGUGAAGCGGCAACAGCUCAAAUUUGAAAUCUGGCUCUUUCAGAGUCCGAGUUGUAAUUUGCAGAGGGCGCUUUGGCUUUGGCAGCGGUCCAAGUUCCUUGGAACAGGACGUCACAGAGGGUGAGAAUCCCGUACGUGGUCGCUAGCUAUUGCCGUGUAAAGCCCCUUCGACGAGUCGAGUUGUUUGGGAAUGCAGCUCUAAAUGGGAGGUAAAUUUCUUCUAAAGCUAAAUACUGGCCAGAGACCGAUAGCGCACAAGUAGAGUGAUCGAAAGAUGAAAAGCACUUUGGAAAGAGAGUCAAACAGCACGUGAAAUUGUUGAAAGGGAAGCGCUUGCAGCCAGACUUGCUUGCAGUUGCUCAUCCGGGCUUUUGCCCGGUGCACUCUUCUGUAGGCAGGCCAGCAUCAGUUUGGGCGGUGGGAUAAAGGUCUCUGUCACGUACCUCCUUUCGGGGAGGCCUUAUAGGGGAGACGACAUACCACCAGCCUGGACUGAGGUCCGCGCAUCUGCUAGGAUGCUGGCGUAAUGGCUGUAAGCGGCCCGUCUUGAAACACGGACCAAGGAGUCUAACAUCUAUGCGAGUGUUUGGGUGUCAAGCCCGAGCGCGUAAUGAAAGUGAACGGAGGUGGGAACCCGCAAGGGCGCACCAUCGACCGAUCCUGAAGUUUACGGAAGGAUUUGAGUAAGAGCAUGGCUGUUGGGACCCGAAAGAUGGUGAACUAUGCUUGAAUAGGGUGAAGCCAGAGGAAACUCUGGUGGAGGCUCGCAGCGGUUCUGACGUGCAAAUCGAUCGUCAAAUUUGGGCAUAGGGGCGAAAGACUAAUCGA
rnacentral:rRNA from 1 species